UACAGAGGUCCCAAGCGUUGUUCGGAUUCACUGGGCGUAAAGGGUGCGUAGGUGGUUGGGUAAGUCUGAUGUGAAAUCUCCGAGCUUAACUCGGAAAUGGCAUUGGAUACUAUUUGACUAGAGGGUUGGAGGGGGGACUGGAAUUCUCGGUGUAGCAGUGAAAUGCGUAGAUAUCGAGAGGAACACCAGUGGCGAAGGCGAGUCCCUGGACAACUCCUGACACUGAGGCACGAAAGCUAGGGGAGCAAACAGGAUUAGAUACCCUGGUAGUCCUAGCUGUAAACGGUGCAUAUUUGCUGUAAAAGGAAUCGACCCCUUUUGUGGCGUAGCCAACGCGUUAAAUAUGCCGCCUGGGAAGUACGGUCGCAAGAUUAAAACUCAAAG
rnacentral:rRNA from 1 species